GACAGGUGCUGCAUGGCUGUCGUCAGCUCGUGUUGUGAAAUGUUGGGUUAAGUCCCGCAACGAGCGCAACCCUUAUCCUUUGUUGCCAGCGAUUCGGUCGGGAACUCAAAGGAGACUGCCGGUGAUAAACCGGAGGAAGGUGGGGAUGACGUCAAGUCAUCAUGGCCCUUACGAGUAGGGCUACACACGUGCUACAAUGGCGCAUACAAAGAGAAGCGACCUCGCGAGAGCAAGCGGACCUCACAAAGUGCGUCGUAGUCCGGAUCGGAGUCUGCAACUCGACUCCGUGAAGUCGGAAUCGCUAGUAAUC
rnacentral:rRNA from 1 species